rnacentral:rRNA from 1 species
GACGAACGCUGGCGGCGUGCUUAACACAUGCAAGUCGAACGGUGAAGCGCCUUCCUUUUUGGUGGGUGUGGAUGAGUGGCGAACGGGUGAGUAACACGUGAGUAACCUGCCCCCUUCUUCUGGAUAACCGCAUGAAAGUGUGGCUAAUACGGGAUAUUCUGGAUCUGUGGCAUGAUGGGUCUGGGAAAGAUUUUGUUUCGGUGGGGGAUGGGCUCGCGGCUUAUCAGCUUGUUGGUGGGGUGAUGGCCUACCAAGGCGGUGACGGGUAGCCGGCCUGGGAGGGUCGACCGUAAUACAGGGACGGCGAGACCGAGACGACUCCGACGGGAGGCAGUAGGGGGGAAUAUAGCACGAGGGGCGGCAGGCUGCUGCAGCGACGCGGCGUGGGGGAUGGAGUCCUGCGGGUAGUGGACCUCUUUCGCGAGUGAAGCAGGCCUGCCUAGUUUGUGGGUGGGUUGACGGUAGCUGGAGAAGAAGCGCCGGCUAACUACGUG